UCAACACCGAAGUUGGCCAGUGGGAUUUUCACAUUCUUAGACAAAGCACGGUAGCUUUCAUCAGGGAGAGAUGCUAAUGGAUCACAGCCGGAACAUGUACCUAAGAAUGGACACAACCUGUAACCACCAAGUAGAGAGACAGAGCAUGAACGGGGGAGGGGCAGAGAGAGAGGGAGAC